rnacentral:rRNA from 1 species
UAGGGAAUCUUCCACAAUGGGCGCAAGCCUGAUGGAGCAACACCGCGUGAGUGAAGAAGGGUUUCGGCUCGUAAAGCUCUGUUGUUAAAGAAGAACACGUAUGAGAGUAACUGUUCAUACGUUGACGGUAUUUAACCAGAGAGUCACGGCUAACUACGUGCUAG